CGUGUCAGAAAAUUACACUAUGACAGAAACAACUACCAUCUCUGGACAAACAUCAUCUGGAUUUUCAUUUCAUGUGCCUAUCAUGGUCAUAGUGUUGAUUUUGCUGAUUAUUGGACUGUUGCUGUAUGGAGCAUAUAAGUGCUUUUUCUGGGUUAUGUACAAGCGGGCACAGAUAAUGGGGUUGCCAGCCCAAGCACUCUUGUCACGUGUAAAGGUGUAAAAAUCAUUGUACAAACUUGACUAAAUAAAGAUUAUUUUAUUGAAAAAGAGAUGUAUGAUAUCUUGUUUGUUGUCAUCACGUAACAGGUCAUAACACACGCAAUUAGAACAUCAUCAGACAUUGUAUGUGUUUUGGAUUGGAAGGUUAUGGUUUUGUUCUUGUGGUAUAUACAUUUGGUAUUUUUUAUCUGUUCAAUCAGAUAGGAGAUUGGGUCACUAGACAGCAGGACAGUGUUAGAUACCACGGUUUGGCUGGCACAGAGCAAUCCCUGGUUCAAUGAAGAGAUAAAGUUUUGGAAGGCCAGUGUCUUGUCUCCACUCAACAUAUAAAUAGGCCAUUGCAUUCCAGUCUUGUCUCUGUAGGAGGCAAACAGGGUUGGUAGUUUAAUGUUGUGGGAAAUAAAAGUUGCUAUGGCUACAGCUGAGUCUUGAUUGCUAUUUCCCUCUAUUAUACACCUGAUUUCUUGAAUCCAGGGGUGUUGAAACAAUAUUCCCUCCAACAGAGCAGUGGCACAUGAGGCUAUGUUGUGAGCAGCAGUUCCAGUGAGGUUGUUCAGGAAGAAAUGUUCCAACCCUAAGAUAAUACACUUUUUAGUGUGUUUACAGUGACUCAUGGCAACUAUACCAGUUCCAGAGGCGUGGACGUUGUUUCCAUAGGCGGGGUCAAUAUACACAAAAAGUGUAUUUUCUGUAGUUGGGGCCCCCUGGCCCGCAGUGUCACACCUAUAAAAGUCUAGCCGGGUCAGACUGGACUCGUGUAUCAUACUGUUCCCAGAGACUUCCGUGUGUGAUUGCAUAUUGCCCAUUAAUUCUGUGGCAAAUGAUCCCUCUAGCAGUAAAUUGGUGGUACACUUUAUAUUAUCAUUGAUGGUGAUAAAUUCUGGAACAUACAGGCGAUAGCAAGGGCAGGCAGUGAUUGCGCUCUGUUUGUUGAAGUCUUCCAUAUGUUCGCUACAGACAUAGCUGACAACGUUCACCAUCUUCUCAUUGGCAUCUUUGAGGUUAUACAAAAAACUUGUUGUCUUCUCUCCUGAAUUUACAGAGGAGAUAAAAAAGAUCUUGGCAUCCUUCUGUAACAUAAACCCCAAGAUUGCUGGAAGUGCUUCCUUCUUUAUGAAAUUUGCUUCAUCAACAAACAGUAGAUUAAAUGUCUGCCCCCGGAUGCUCUGUGAAUAAAUCAAAGAAUCUGGUUACUGAUCAGGAUCUCCUGGAUGUGGUGAAUUUUUUUAACAGACCAUUACAUGCUCUCAUUGCUGAGGUGUCAAAAACCACUUCUGAUUUGGAACUUGUCAGGUCAACCACCCAAGGUAUUGAAAAUAUCUGUCUCCUGCUAGACUUGGUAGGAACAGAAUGUAUAAAAGAUGCAAGCGCGGCCAAGACAAGUGUAUGAUGCGGCCUCUUUCUAACCCUUUAACAGAGGCCUAUAACGUGCAAAAUUUGUACCAGUGUCUAAAUUGUGAUGAUUAUCACUUGUGUAAUGGUUCUCUCAACUGUGAUCCUCUGGUGGAUCGAGAGGGAAUUGUGUGCACAGUCACUGGAAAGUAUAUCCAGUGUAAUGUCAGGGAAUCACCCAUGUGUGGGGCAGCGUGUCUGGACGUGGACAUUCACCCAGAGGACAAUACAGACUGCAUUCUGCGGGCACUGUUUGGUGACAUUGUAGAUAUUAUUAAUAAAUUGGAUGAUAUUGCUGAAAUUAAAGAUAAGAUCCUCGCUGGAGACUCCCUAAAUGAGCACAUCAAGAAGAAAAUUGAGUGUACCUUUCCAAUGUGCGCCAACAUCAUUAAUUGUAAUAGCCAAGGCUAUUCCAUACUUUGUAGCAUGUUUGUCCAUAUUAUUAUGUCAAUCUAUGCCAACAAAACCAUAUAUGGCCACAUGCUAUUUAAAUGCACCAGAAAUAAAAAGUAUGACACCAUUGCCAAGAAAAUUAGAGAGAAAUGGAUGUAUUUAGAAUAAAUAAAAAAAGUGUUCCUUUACAACAAGAUGAGCUCCUGGUCGAUCUGUUUCUCCCAGAACAUUUAUUGGCAAUUUAUGGCAUACUACCCAACAGGAACUUUGUGUACACCUCCUCUGUGUGUGAUUAUCAAUCUGGUCACGUCCUGCCUUAUAGAAGAGUUUGGGGAAAAUUUAUGAAGGCAGGUGAGUCUGGAGGCCCAGUUGGAAGUCAGGGGCUGUGUGUCUCUAUUAUUGUGAGAGUUCAUCAGAAUCUUUCUUGCCUGGACAUGGCCCUGUUAAAAGUUUCAAACUGGGAUGAGGGCUUCUUUAGAAUAAUUAAAUUUUCUCUGCUUAAUCUCCUUAGAAUGUUCUAUAUCACCUCAGUCCCACCCGUCACCAGGCUCAAAAAAACCGCCUUUGAGGAGCUCUGCAACCAAGUGUCCAGUGAUAAGCCCCCUGCCCACGCAGCUGCGUCUUUUCUCCUGUCUUUGUUGCCCAACACCGUCUGUGAGACUACCAAAACACACUGUGCGCUGGAGAACCCUGGCUACAUCAGAGGCUCAAACCCACCCACGUGUCAAACACAGCCAGCCACGGAGACACUGCCCUGUAAGAACAGGAGGACAGAAAGGCAGCCCAGGACAGAGUACAGUUGGAAAUUGCUCCACCAUGUUGAGAAUGGUGCUCCCUACUAUGUUGAAGAUACCCAUAACCCCAUAGAGGCACAACAUAUUCAUCAGAAGCUAUUAACAGUCAUGACUGGAGACCCCCCCGCCAAAGCCCCAACUGACAUAUUUUUAAUGGAUACUGACUUCCUCCACGCUGUUCAAAAUAGAUUCAUCGACUCAAUUGAUCUCCCUGGUGUCAAAGAUGGUGGUUUGAAUAUUUUUCAGAAGUUUUCCAUCUUCAUCACUUAUGAUGAGACCACUAAACAUUUAUAUGAAAUUUUCCUAGACUCUCUAAUCACCCUCAGAAGCAAAAGCUCCAAAUAUCCUGCUUGGCUUAUGGCAUACUAUCACGGGCCUUCCUUUCAGGGGGUGUGGUUAGAUAUUGUAAAUGCCACUGCAACUGGAGAGGUAUUCAAGGGGGAUUCCAUAUAUUUAGAUCUGACUGCUUGGCUACUUCUUCCUGGAGGAUUUGUUAUUAAAGGAACAUACAUUCUGGGAAUUCAAGAAAAGGCCUUUGUUGGCAGAUAUUAUGGCAACCAAAGAAGAUAUAAUUCAGACAUUUCUGAAUAAAGAGUGUAUAUGGAUUGUAAAUAAAGCUUCAUGUUGCAGAAAGAAGGUCUUUACAUGCACCACGUCCAUUUCACCAAGCCUGAAACACCACUUUGGUGUGCCAGACGAUGGGGCAUGGUGCCUAAACGUCACUGUGUUGAUUCUGAAGCCUAAACAAUCUCCAUUUUCUGUUACAGUGUUUAUAAAUGGGAAACCCAUACUCUGCUCCAAUUCACAGUUAAUUUCUAUCCAGAAGGUAUCUGGCAGAGAGCAUAUGGCUGUGAUAUAUUUUGGAAAAUUUACAGGGAAGUCAGCCAUUCCAGUACCUAUGGAUCCUACAAUUCUAGAUCCUGGUUCUGACAGCCCACACAUUUUGUGUUCAGAUGUAAUGGAGUCCUCCACGUUGGUUGACCUGCCAGUUGUUGGUUCAAGUAAGCAAGUAGGAUAUACUGCCUGGCUUGCGAAUAACAGUAUCUAUGAAUACAUGUUGAGUACAGAACAUCAGAUGAUGUGUCCGUCCCUACCAGUGUUUCCCUCCCUGUCUAAGAUCCUCAAUAUUAUGACGUCCUGCACAAGUCCAACCUGUAAAAAAUGUGCAGGAUAUCGGAGGCACUGUAAGGUCUGCAGUGGUUAUACUGAUGCUACUGGAGAUGGGUAUUCGCCUUCAUGUCCCUGCACAACAUCAUGCGCUCUCAAACCAGGUGACAUCAUCCCCAUAACUGGACACCAUACUUUGCUGCCAUUGUUGUUUGAUCCUGUCAAUGCCCACAGUGUCACACGGCUCAGAAUCACCCCUACCAGUUCACCUCAGCCCUUGGAUCAAAUUAUUACUGGUAUCACCGAGUCAGGGGAGAGUGUUCCAAUUACCCUGGAGGCGUGGAAACUCGUGAGGCUAUCUGACCUUUACUCCCAUCUCUAUAUUAUAUCAUGUAAGGCACUUAAAUCACACUUACAUUCUUGUUGAAGCAUGUGGCACACAUCAAGGUGCUGGAUUUUUUCCCAGGAUGUGAGUACAGGAUCACCCCAUUUUCCUUUUUAAUGUCAAUAUUCUUUCUUGGGAACCAGGCCAGCAGAAUGUUUGAGAUUUCCAGGAAAACUGCCAAGGACACAUGUUUUUGGUGGGCUACGUAGCCAAUAUGUAAAUCAUCCACUGAUGUCAGAAGCAUGCUUAUGAUUGCUGUCACAAUCCAGGUUUUGCCAUGGCGCCGGGGAAUCAAAAAGGCUGGUGAUUUUUGCAAAAAUGUUAACAAGUCUGUGUUGUCAAAAUAUAACAUGUCUAAUAAAAAUUUGAAUUCAUCAAAA
rnacentral:tmRNA from 1 species